AGUGGCGGACGGGUGAGUAACGCGUGAGAAUCUGCCUUGGGCUCGGGGACAACCACUGGAAACGGUGGCUAAUACCGGAUAAGCCGAUUGGUGAAAGAUUUAUUGCCCGAAGAGGAGCUCGCGUCUGAUUAGCUAGUUGGUGAGGUAAGAGCUCACCAAGGCAGCGAUCAGUAGCUGGUCUGAGAGGACGAUCAGCCACACUGGGACUGAGACACGGCCCAGACUCCUACGGGAGGCAGCAGUGGGGAAUUUUCCGCAAUGGGCGAAAGCCUGACGGAGCAAGACCGCGUGAGGGAGGAAGGCUCUUGGGUUGUAAACCUCUUUUCUCAGGGAAGAAGCUCUGACGGUACCUGAGGAAUCAGCCUCGGCUAACUCCGUGCCAGCAGCCGCGGUAAUACGGAGGAGGCAAGCGUUAUCCGGAAUUAUUGGGCGUAAAGCGUCCGCAGGUGGCGAUUCAAGUCUGCUGUCAAAGCACGGGGCUUAACUCCGUAAAGGCAGUGGAAACUGAAUAGCUAGAGUGCCGUAGGGGUAGAGGGAAUUCCCGGUGUAGCGGUGAAAUGCGUAGAGAUCGGGAAGAACAUCGGUGGCGAAAGCGCUCUACUGGACGGCAACUGACACUCAGGGACGAAAGCUAGGGGAGCGAAUGGGAUUAGAUACCCC
rnacentral:rRNA from 1 species